CGGCAAGCCUAACACAUGCAAGUCGAACGGACAAUUAUUUAUAGCCUCUGGCUAUAGGAAAUUGUUAGUGGCAGACGGGUGAGUAAUGCGUAGGAAUCUACCUAGUAGUACGGAAUAGCCAUUAGAAAUGGUGGGUAAUACUGUAUAAUCCCCGAGGGGGAAAGAUUUAUCGCUAUUAGAUGAGCCUACGUUAGAUUAGCUAGUUGGUGAGGUAAUGGCUUACCAAGGCUAUGAUCUAUAGCUGGUCUGAGAGGACGAUCAGCCACACUGGAACUGAGAUACGGUCCAGACUCCUACGGGAGGCAGCAGUGGGGAAUAUUGGACAAUGGGCGAAAGCCUGAUCCAGCUAUGCCGCGUGAGUGAAGAAGGCCUUCGGGUUGUAAAACUCUUUCAAUAGGGAAGAUAAUGACGGUACCUAUAGAAGAAGUCCCGGCAAACUCUGUGCCAGCA
rnacentral:rRNA from 1 species